rnacentral:rRNA from 1 species
CAGCAGUAGCCGCGGUAAUACGAAGGGUGCAAGCGUUAAUCGGAAUUACUGGGCGUAAAGCGUGCGUAGGCGGUUUGUUAAGUCUGUUGUGAAAUCCCCGGGCUCAACCUGGGAAUGGCAAUGGAUACUGGCAAGCUAGAGUGUGUCAGAGGAUGGUGGAAUUCCCGGUGUAGCGGUGAAAUGCGUAGAGAUCGGGAGGAACAUCAGUGGCGAAGGCGGCCAUCUGGGACAACACUGACGCUGAGGCACGAAAGCGUGGGGAGCAAACAGGAUUAGAUACCCCCGUAGUCCCUGUCUCUUAUAC